rnacentral:rRNA from 1 species
AUGUGCCUGAAUAGUGGCUCCCUUUUGAACCAUAAUAUCAUGGGAGCUUCUCGGUUCUUUUUAGUACAUCAGGCAUAUUACAGCUAUAGUAUUCUGUCUUUUAAAAUGUGGUUCACUAAAUCUUGUACGUGGCUGUUUGUAAUUUUGCUUGCAUUGUCGUGUCAUGUAUUUAAUGGUUCGAUGAGAGGUUUAGGUCUGAGGACAGCCCUGCUUUACUGUCCAACAUUCAUGAUAAACCAGCCAUUUUUUGCUGUCUGGCAAGUGGAUUUUCGCUUGAGGUCUUUUUUACUUAAUAUAAGACGUUUUUUGACACUGUCAUAG